UCAGUAACACGUGGCCAAACUACCCUGUGGAUGGGAACAAUCUCGGGAAACUGAGGCUAAUUCCCAAUAACGCUCCACCCCUGGAACGGGCGGAGCUGGAAACGCUACGGCGCCACAGGAUGUGGCUGCGGUCGAUUAGGUAGACGGUGGGGUAACGGCCCACCGUGCCAAUAAUCGGUACGGGUUGUGAGAGCAAGAGCCCGGAGACGGAAUCUGAGACAAGAUUCCGGGCCCUACGGGGCGCAGCAGGCGCGAAACCUUUACACUGUACGCAAGUGCGAUAAGGGGACUCCGAGUGUGAAGGCAUAGAGCCUUCACUUUUGUACACCGUAAGGUGGUGUACGAAUAAGGGCUGGGCAAGACCGGUGCCAGCCGCCGCGGUAAUACCGGCAGCCCGAGUGAUGGCCGAUAUUAUUGGGCCUAAAGCGUCCGUAGCUGGCCGGACAAGUCCGUUGGGAAAUCUGUUCGCUUAACGAGCAGGCGUCCAGCGGAAACUGUUCGGCUUGGGACCGGAAGACCUGAGGGGUACGUCCGGGGUAGGAGUGAAAUCCUGUAAUCCUGGACGGACCACCGGUGGCGAAAGCGCCUCAGGAGGACGGAUCCGACAGUGAGGGACGAAAGCUAGGGUCUCGAACCGGAUUAGAUACCCGGGUAGUCCUAGCUGUAAACGAUGCCCGCUAGGUGUGGCGCAGGCUACGAGCCUGCGCUGUGCC
rnacentral:rRNA from 1 species